CGAUUAGCUCCAAUCGAUAUGUUCGUUAAACAAUAUGAUAAUUUAUCGUGGGACGUGUUAAUCGUCAUACUACAAAUCAGUGUUCCAGAAAAAGAAAAACAUCACACCCGGCAAGAUCACCAAUCAAUUGUCAUUCGACUCGCGUGGUUUUUGAAAGAUUCAAGUACGUUGGAGACUAAGGAAUCGCAGUUUUAACGAUAACCUCGGGUAUACGGUUCAUUGUUUCCGACAGUUUUGACUGUCACAUAAAACUUUAUAUAUAAAAAGCACGAUAAACACAUUUUAUUUAUUUUUUGUGAAAAUGAAGUUUAUUAAGGUGUUGUUGUUUUUGUUUGCUUUGAUGGUUUCCUGCAAUGCCAUGAGAUCUAGAAUAGUUGGAGAUAAAAGAGAGUAUGUGGUACGGUAUUUGAACUCGUGCAAGGACACAGCGUCCUGUCAGCAGUCCUGUUCUGAAAUCAACAGCGAUUGGUCGGGCAGAUGUGAGGAGUACGAGCGCAAGAACAUUUGUGUCUGUUGCACGAUGCACUGACCUUUUAACAUUUGUUGACCUGUCCGUUUGCUGAUAUUGAAUAAACACUUAACAUUUUAAUAAAUUUUAAUAUAUAUUUUAAAAUUAGA